rnacentral:other from 1 species
AUUACCCUGCUAUGUACGUGGACUCCUUGAAGUUUUGAGCCAACACCUAUACAAAGGGAGCCCGGCCUCUGGCUGUGGCUUGUAUGCCUCACACGAGAGAGGACACAAAAAGCAGCCAGGAGGGCACCCACCUUGUGAGACCGGGUUCAAGAAACUUGAGGGUUCACGGCAUUAGUGGGGUUUUU